GAAAAAGAUAGUUUUUUGAAGAGACUUUUGAGGGAUAGUAGGGAUGAAGACGUGAGGAAAUCAGCGGAAAAGGAUGAUGCAGAACCGGAGAGGGAUGGUUUUUUUAAGAGGUUUUUAAGAGAGAGUCGGGAUGAUGAUAGUAGGAAAUCAGUGGACAAAGAUGAAGAGGAGUCGGAAAAAGAUGGAUUUUUUCGCAGACUUCUUAGUAAUAGUAAAGAUGAUUAUGCUAGGAAAUCUGUGGAUAAGGAUGCAGAGGAAUCAGAGAAGGAUGGUUUCUUCAGGAGGCUUUUGAGUACCAACAAAGAUGAUGAUGAGGAUGUGCACUCAAGUACAGAUGGAUUUUUCAAACGUAUGUUUCGUGAUAAUAAAAAUGAUUUGGAGGAUAAAGUAGUUUCCAAACCUGUUGAAGAUGAUGAAAAAGACGGUUUUUUCCGGAAGUUUUUAAAGGACAAAAAAUUUGAGGAGAAGAAGGAUGUAAGAGAAAGGAAUGAAACACCUGAAAAAUCAACAAGGAGUUCUGAAGAUGAUGAAAAGGAAGGGUUCUUCAAAAAGAUUUUUAAGGAAAAAUUUGAGGAUAAGAAAGAUGGUAAUGACAGGGCUGAUGACGAUCUUAGGAGGCAUGCAAAUGGUGAGGAAGAAGAGCCUUCAGAUUUUCCAUUGUUUCGUAGACUAUUUCGAGUGCAUCCAGAGGAUUCAAAACUGUCAGCAUCAAAUGAAAGCAGUAAUGGUGGCAGUUUUCUUGAGAGCAGUCCUGGAACUGAGA
rnacentral:misc_RNA from 1 species